GGACAUUACCGUCACCAGGAAGAGGUGUUCCAGGGGCAUCCCUGCUUGAAGGUGACCUUCCUCUUCAUAGUGUUCCUGACAAUCACUGCCAUCCUGUUGGCCUGUACAACGAAGACUUCUGCAGUUCCGGCCUUACCAAUACCCCAGCAGCAUUUACCUCUCUUGCUGAUGACAGUUCAGUAAUUUUCAAAAAAGAUUACAUCUACUCAAGCAACUAAAAUAUAUCUCUCAUUCAAGGAGCGAAUCAUGCUACUUUCUUGCCUUUAUCAUAAUU